rnacentral:rRNA from 1 species
UACGUAGGGUGCAAGCGUUGUCCGGAUUUAUUGGGCGUAAAGAGCUCGUAGGCGGCUUUUCAAGUCAGAGGUGAAAUCCGGCAGCUCAACUGUCGAAGUGCCCUUGAUACUGAUGAGCUCGAGGGAGGUAGGGGUAUGUGGAACUUCCGGUGGAGCGGUGAAAUGCGUUGAUAUCGGAAGGAACGCCGGUGGCGAAAGCGACGUACUGGACCUCUUCUGACGCUGAGGCGCGAAAGCUAGGGGAGCAAACGGG